AUACGUAGGGGGCAAGCGUUAUCCGGAUUUACUGGGUGUAAAGGGAGCGUAGACGGCAAAGCAAGUCUGAAGUGAAAGCCCCGGGCUCAACCCGGGAAUUGCUUUGGAAACUGUUUAGCUGGAGUGCAGGAGAGGUAAGCGGAAUUCCAAGUGUAGCGGUGGAAUGCGCAGAUAUUUGGAAGAACACCGGUGGCGAAGGCGGCCUUCUGGGCCACGACUGACGCUGAGGCGCGAAAGCUAGGGGAGCGAACAGGAUUAGAUACCCUGGUAGUCCACACUGUAAACGAUGAAUACUAGGUGUGGGGGGACUGACCCCCUCCGUGCCGCAGUUAACACAAUAAGUAUUCCUCCUGGGGAGUACGAUCGCAAGAUUAAAACUCAAAUGAAUUGACGGGG
rnacentral:rRNA from 1 species